rnacentral:lncRNA from 1 species
CUAUAUUGCCCAGGCUGGAUUGUAAUAGCUAUUAACUGCUGUGAUCAUGGCAUACUACUGCCUCUAAUUUCUAGGUUCAAGCAAUACUCCUGCCUCAGUCUUCCAAGUGGCUGGGAUUACAGGCAUGCAACACCACACCCGGCUCCAUUAUUUGUCUUUUUGUUAUGGCUUAUUUCACUUCGCAUAGUAUCAAGGUGACCAAAUUCCCUUCCUUUUUUAGGCUAAAUAAUACUGUGUCCAUAUAUUUUUAAAUCACAUAAAAUCUAUGGUGUUUUAAAUCAGGACAGUAGUUACCUCUGGGGAAUAUGAAGAUAGUGUCUAGACAUCACAUAAAGAAAUAUAGAAUAUAAAUAACGUUUUAUUUCCUGACCUGUGUGGCGAUUACAGAAGCAUGUUCACCUUGUAGUAAUCCCUGUUCCACCCUUAGAAAAAUCACUAACUUGACACUAAAUAUUGUUCUAAAUUUAUGAACAGGUGGCACACUGCUGUAAUGCCAGCUAUUUGGGAGCCUAAAGUAGGAGGGUCACUUGAGCCCAGGGGUUCAAGGCUUCAGUGAACCAUAAUCAUGCCACCAUACUCCAGUCUGGGUGACAGUGUGAGAUACUGUCUCUAAAAACAUAAAUACAUUUAUGAACAGCUUCAACAAGCCUGCUCCAGAGCUAGCCAUCAGCUAGGAUCAGCUCUCCCUACAAGAAUAUGCUAUAAAGCAGAACAGAGCUCCUGUCAGUUUAAAUCAACUGACAUUUAUCAUCCUGCUUACAUUUCCUUUAUGUCUUCAGUCUUUUACUUUCAAGUACUUCUAAAUUCCGAUGUUCUCACAUGACUUUUCCUUUUAUGCAAGCAUACUGGAAGUCUGUGUAGUCAAAUAGCAGCCUUGAAGAUU